AUGAACAAAGCUCGUGUGGAGAGGAAGGUAUGGGUUGGACAUAUCUAUGACUCUCUCAGAGAAGGGUAUAUGAGGUCAGCAGAGUUUCUGCUAAAAAACCUUCCCCUGGAUAACAUCAUAUUAACAUCACUCUCUGCUCUGACGCCGUCUCUAAUUCAAUCCGAUGCAGUUGUUGGAGCAUUCACUACAUUAGGAGAGGCCUUGCCAAAUGUUGUCCCUCCAGAAGAGAUCGGUCAACUGGUUGAAGAAUGCCGGGCCUACCAGAUGGAUGCGGACAUGCUUCUUCGUGUACCAAACUACAUUGAAGGGGACUGUCUAGUUGAUGUAGACUGGUGGAGCCAUGUUGCUUCUUUGAAAAAUGCAGAGAGAGGUGUGAAGUAUCCCACCCUGUGCAAACUUGUUAAAGCGAUUCUGUCCAUUUUUACAGGCCCCUUGGUGGAAGGAUCAUUCAAUUUAAUGGAUGAUAUCCUAGAGUCUGACAGGUGCUCCAUGAAUGUGGAAACAUACGAGAGCCUCGCAGUGAUCAAGUCCACACUUAAGGCCAGGAACUGGACAGCCUCAACUAUGAACAUUGACCAGCCUUUAAGGCGAUCCUGCCUUUCCUCAUUCCAAAACUACCAAUUACAUUUAAAGAAAAAGAAAGAGACUGCACAGGCACUAAAGAAGAAAAGGCUUAGUGAGGCAGCAAGGAUUCUAUCCUCAAAGGAGGCAAACAAAUUGUCUCAACAGGCCCGAAAAACCAAAAGGCCAGCAAUAUCCUCCUCUGCACAAACCUCCACCUCCUCUGCACAAGCCUCCACCACCUCUGCUCAACAGGCCCUGGAAAAAAGAAUACCACCCCAAUCCUCCUCUGUACAAGCCUCCACUUCCUCUGCACAAGCCUCCACCACCUCUGCUCAAAAGGCCCUUGAAAAAAGAAGACCACCCCAACCCUCCUCUGCACAAGUCUCCACAUCAUCUGCACCAUCACAGUUUUUUCCUCUCUUUUAUCAAUCCAAAGCAUCAUCAACCAUGUUAAAAAGGAAAGGUUCCGAGGACCAAAAACAAUGUUCAUCAAAAAGGAAGAAAUGA
rnacentral:lncRNA from 1 species